CAGAGAUCAUGCCCUCACGGGUAGACCUCCCACCCUGUGUUAUUUACUAUUGUUGCUUUGGCAGGCCGCCUUCGGGCUCUCGGCUCCGGCUGAGGUGCGCCUGCCAGAGGACCCCAACUCUGUGUUUAGUGUCGUCUGAGUACUAUAUAAUAAGUUA
rnacentral:misc_RNA from 1 species